UACGUAGGGGGCUAGCGUUGUCCGGAAUCAUUGGGCGUAAAGAGCGUGUAGGCGGUCCGGUAAGUCCGCUGUGAAAGUCGGGGGCUCAACCCUCGAAUGCCGGUGGAUACUGUCGGGCUAGAGUGCGGAAGAGGCGAGUGGAAUUCCUGGUGUAGCGGUGAAAUGCGCAGAUAUCAGGAGGAACACCUAUUGCGAAGGCAGCUCGCUGGGACGUAACUGACGCUGAUGCGCGAAAGCCAGGGGAGCGAACGGG
rnacentral:rRNA from 1 species